GUUUGCUGAGACGGCCGCGGCCCUGGAGGGUCUUCUGAGGUCGUUUGUGUUAUCAGGCGCGUGCCCGGGACCCCAGCUCCUGGCUUGGUCUUAUUGUGAGGUCGACACAGGAGCUUCCGGGGUGGUGGCCCUGGGUCCCCGGAGCCCACGCCUCUCCAGCCGCCAUCUUGCCCUGUGUGUCUCUUUGUGGCCAUUCCUGGCUCAGCCUCUGAUAAACUGACCGUCACACAGGAAGCCCUGUCCUAGGUUUGGUGAGUGGAGCCAGGGAACUGUCCAGCUGAAGGAGCACAUGAGAGCCCUCAAAGGUGUGGGUGGCCUGGGGACCCGUCAUCUGCGUUGGUGUCCUGUGGGCCUGGGCCUAACCCUAACCCUAACCCUAACCCUAACCCAACCCUGACCCACUGAAGCUGGACAAGUGGAGAACUCAUCCAUGUCUGAGGGACAGGUUUGGUUCCACUCGGGGACGGUUCACUGAGCACACACUAUGCGCUGUCCGAGGGGCGGCUCUCCUUCUUGCACCGCAUCGUCACCGUGCCCCAGGGGUCAGGACUGCCACCAGCUGCUCUCGGGUGGGGAGCCUGAGGCUCAGAGGCUGGACCCGGGCUCCACACAGGCUGCAGGCGGACACCUCCCGAGGGAAGGCCCAGCAGCUGGGCUCACCUGAGUGGUCAGCUGGAGCCCAGCGCAGCCGAGUUCCCAGGGCCAGCAGCGAGCUGGACAGCACAUGGCUCUCUAGGAUGACGGACCUGUCAGGAAGCUGAUGGACGGGGUGGUCGCCUCUGGCAGGCCCCAUCAGGAGCACAGCCACCUGUACCCAGCACCUGCAGAACCACGUCCCUCCAUCCUCAGCAGGAGGGGCGGCAGGCUGCCCAAGGAGUAAAUGCAGAUGCAGCUGCUCUGUGUCCACCAGGCCUGGCCCAGGAUGGCUCCCCCAGUCUCAGGCCUCCCCUGGCCCCGCCCCAGCAGGAGACAGCCGCUGGCCCUCAGCCGGGUGAGAGGCUCUGCCCUUGGUGUCCGGGUGAGCGCAGAGGGCUCCAGGGCAGACCGCCAGCAGCACUGAGGGCCCCAG
rnacentral:lncRNA from 1 species